UACCAGCACCCCGAGUGGUCGGGACGAUUAUUGGGCCUAAAGCAUCCGUAGCCGGUUCUGCAAGUCCCCCGUUAAAUCCAGCUGCUCAACAGAUGGGCCGCGGAGGAUACUACAGAGCUAGGAGGCAGGAGAGGCAAGCGGUACUCAGUGGGUAGGGGUAAAAUCCGUUGAUCCAUUGAGGACCACCAGUGGCGAAGGCGGCUUGCCAGAAUGCGCUCGACGGUGAGGGGUGAAAGCUGGGGGGAGCAA
rnacentral:rRNA from 1 species